rnacentral:lncRNA from 1 species
GGUCUGCCAGCCUUAGGCUUUUCACUGGCAAGUGACCAUGAUGACCACAAGCACCAUGCCCCACCCCGAGGCAGGUUCUCCUGCACAUUUUUCCCUUAGGCUGGAAAUCCAGCUCGCUUAUAUAACAAGCUUCAUUGCAACACUCUCCUUCAAGCCAGAGGGACUCUGGACUAUUCCCAUUUCUCUGGCUCCACAGCAGGCACUCCCAGCUUCCUGUGAAUUUGGUGAGCCAUCUGACCGUGUCUGCCAAGCCUCUCCUUUCUGGGGCCUCGCUUACCUGAGAUCUGCCUUCCCAUGGGAAAUGCAAUGUGAAGUAAAAGCAACAGACAGCCUGAGGAGCCCAGGCACCACGACGCUCAAUGCGAUUACCCCUCAGGAUGCUGCGGGGUCCCUCCAGGGUCUAGAGACCAGAACUCCCAGAAGCCUGCAGAGCCGAUUUCUCCCAUUUCCCUGUGCUGGACUGUCACAGCACUGGGGACCAACUUCUUACCACCCAAU